UGCCCGAGGAGAUUAGUUCGUUGUUGCUAUCUGAAUGUACCAGUGAUGUUUUUGGUCCUUUUUUAGGCUAUCUUGAACGAUUGCAGGUUUUAAUCAAGAAGUCCUCAAUAGGUGGACUAGCUCAAAAUGGAGAAGCACGCUGGUAGCUUUUUGGUUGAUUGUAUUAAGCAUUUAAGUUCAUAGCAAUUCAUACCAUCAAUAUCUUUGGGGUGCCUUGUACUCCUUCCAUAAAAUAAUACAAGAGCGUAGUGAUCUAAACACUCUUAUAUUAUAGUUUA